CUUUAUCAAAUGUUUUAAUGUGAUAGAAAUUGUGUAAGGUGAUGGAAAUGGUGAUAGGUGUGUAAGAAAUACUUCUCUUACACACACAUCACUUGCAUGACUUUAAGUCACAUUCCACUUGCAUGAAUUUAUGUCACAAAUUCCACUUGCAAGGCUUUAUGAAAUUGUUGAAAAAAUUUCUAAAAUUUUGUGGACUAACACUCCAAAACCGGCCACCCUAUUAUUAGGGUUCUUUUGGGUCUUUUAUGCAAUUACAUAAA
rnacentral:lncRNA from 1 species